rnacentral:rRNA from 1 species
GACGUAGGGCGCGAGCGUUGUCCGGAUUUAUUGGGCGUAAAGAGCUCGUAGGCGGCUUGUUGCGUCGACUGUGAAAACCCGCGGCUUGACUGCGGGCUUGCAGUUGAUACGGGCAGGCUAGAGUUCGGUAGGGGAGACUGGAAUUCCUGGUGUAGCGGUGAAAUGCGCAGAUAUCAGGAGGAACACCGGUGGCGAAGGCGGGUCUCUGGGCCGAUACUGACGCUGAGGAGCGAAAGCGUGGGGAGCGAACAGG